CUUCCUCUGGUUGCUUUUAUUGGAGCUAAAGUGCCCUCACCCUUGCUGCCCAUCAGGCACCGAGCAUCAAGGCUAUGGGAGGGGAGGAGAAGGGCUUUUGAAAAGAGCCCAUGUAUUUUCAUAUAAUACCUGACCUACCACUCAGUUUAUUAUAAAAAUAAAGUUAAAGUUUGAGAUAUUUAUUGCACCAUCCAUGCAUAUGCUUAAUUAGAACAGAUUAUCCAUGGCAAAUCUAAGCCAUUCAUAUUGAAUUAGAUGACCAAAAAUAGAAUAGUAGUGAACGGACAAUGAUGCC
rnacentral:lncRNA from 1 species